UCCAAUCCCGUUACAAAAACCACGGACUUCCGUUUCGUUGCCCUUGUAAGCCCCGCCUGGUCCCGCCUUCUCCUGAGAAAGAGCUCAGUUGUCAAGGAACUAUUUUUCUUGCCGUCGUCGCAGAGAGGCCUUUGGAAAAGCGGAAGGGCACGGAGGGUUCUGGCCUUUGUUGCUGGCGCCUGCGUGGUGUCAUGGGAACGUGGCGGGGCGGUGAGUGACGUGAGGGGGCGUGACGGCCAGGCCGGGAGGAGUUGCCCGCGCGGGAGAAAAGAGGCUGGGCAGGGAAAGUGGCUUUGAAGAGCUUCUUGGCGUCGGACGGACGCCCAACAAAUGCUUGUCGGCCAAGUAGAGGAUUCACACUACAAGGAAUACUAAAGGAUGUUCUCCACACUGAAGGAAAAUGAUCUAAAGAGAAACACAGAUCUGUAAGAAGAAAUGAAGAGCACUGCUAAAGGUCCAGCAGAGCAAGUGGGUGGUGAGAUGCCGGCAGCGGAAUUCUAGAAGCAGUGCCUCCCAGAACAGCACUACAGUACUGAGAAAGGACUAUACACCUGGGAAGCUAUCACACACAUAAAAUUAUUUCAUGAAAACUUUCUUUGGGUAAAGGAAGGGUUCCACUGCGUAGUAUUUGAGAAGGGCUGCGUGGUGCAUAAGGUUAAGAAAGAAAUGACUAUAUUUGCCUUUAAACACUUCAGCUGAUUCCAAGCACUCCAGAGGAUCAGUGAGAAGAAACUACACUAAUUAAAGACACCACCACCUGCCAAAUAAUAGCGUUGUGCUGCAAGGAAUGGGGCUAGGGAGAGUGUUUCACAAAUGCAGAACACUGGGCCACAAGGUUAAAGUCAUGCACUAAAACAGUCAAUCCCAAGAAGCAGGUGUCUGAGUGGCGCAACUCAGAAGCAAGUACAUAAAAACGGAACACUCCCACCAGGACACCACUCUAGCCCCACUUCUGCCAAAGGAAAGUUUUCACAUCAAGGUGUAACACACAUCUUUGGAGUUCAACGUUUAUCCCUCCCCACUCCCCAAAGAGAAAGGAAAUACAAGUUAAGGUCCUCAUAGCAAUGGUUUGUCUCCCACUUGGGAAAGCUGGUUAUUGUCAACAUUUUUAUUUAAGAAAACAGGAUUUAACAUGGCAUUUUUCUUCCCUCUAAGGGCAGCAGCACAUAAAUCAUACAUCAGUCAUCCAGUGAUACAAAGAGGUGGCCAACUGUGUCUGAAGUAGUCACUUGUAAAGGAUCAUAACCCAGGCAGUGUUGCUUUUCUGCAAACAGAAGGAAACAGAAGGCUCCAUGGUCCUUGAAGAUUAUCCAAGUUUUCCACUAGUUGUCAAGAUUUCUGUCCCAACCUCUUAGUCACCAUUUACAGCAAGAAGAGCCAGCAAGUGAAAAACUGUUAAUUUAUUGAUUCAAAGUUUUUUUUUUCUUUUUAAAAAACAAUCCCCAAUACAUGCAGUUCAGGGUUAAGUAUCACAUUUGUAGCACAUUGUUGAGUCUCAACACAAAAAUAUGCAACACCUGUAUAAUCCCAUCACAUCUUUUUCCAGCCUCUACAAUACCUAGUUGGGGGUGUUUGCAUUUACACAUCCACAUAGCUUAGAAGCAUGUUAUUAGCGGUUGAUCUGGCCCGAUGCUUCUCUGCCACCUCCCCUGCCCUGGUCUCCACCGUGGGGUUAUUUUUUUCUAAAGGCAGGAUGUUACUCAGUCUUAAUUUAUUAAGGUCACUGACAAACUUUGGCUUCUUGUGUGCUCAUGUGGUCCCUGCUUUUGCUUUCGGAAGGGUUUAUAUUGAAACGACUGUGACUCUGAUCAGUUAUUAUCCCCUCGUUUAUUUGUAGGAAAUAAGUUUGCUUGUUCCUGUGGGUGCUCACACAGUAACACAGGUUCCUAAAGUAAUCAUUUAAUCUGAACUGGCAUUAAAGGAAACUGUUAACUGGGCUCUCUUAGAUCUACUUCAGUUCAUAUAAAAAAACUCUUCCAAUUGUUGCGUGUGUCUCAAAGUAGUUCUGCUUCCAUCCUUAUCAACAGAGCACCUGGGAGAACCUAAGUCAUUUCCCUGAGUAGGCACAGACCAUGAGCCCCGCAGCACUCAGCUCUCUCCGGGACUCAGCACCUGACUCGAGAGCACCACCUUUCAGUCCACUGGGACCAAUCCAGCGGGCAGCGCCCUCCCCAGGGUGCAUUCCAGAACAUAAACUUGGUACCCUCUAAUUUAUCCCCUCAAGAAGUACAUUUCCUCCUCAAGAGCUACCUUUAGAUAGUUUUUCUUAUUGGUCCCUUUUAACAGCCCCUCCCCUAGCCACUCUCUUCAAGUCCCCAACGAUUACGAGUUUGUCUGUCUCUUCUAAUCUGUCAGUCUGAGAGCACCUUCCUCUCUGCAAGGGAACACAUUUGCUUUAAACCUUGUGAGUGCUGACAUGUUACAGAAUGUCUGGGAGGAGGCCCGGCUGAGUGACUGGUGUUUAAGUGCCUCAAUGAAUGACAUCAGCACUUCUCUAGUUGACGAGAAGGCCCAGGAAAGCUUGGUCUGCAUCAUACACUCAAUAGCUUCUCCUACCCAGCCACCUACCCUGCCUACAGGGAUAGGACGAAAGCAAGGCCAGCUGACAGCAUCCAGGGGAGAGUGAACUGCCACCACACCAGAGGUGCAAAUGUGACUCAGCACUUCAUGAGUUCUACUCUCACCAUGGGAUUUCUCAGCAGAAGCAAACCUUGCAGGCAGUUAGGCUCACCUGUAGCCAACAAAUGAUAUAGCCAUCUGGAUUUGGCAUAGGAACCUUUUGUUCUCACCAUACCAGGUCUAUGUUCUUGAACAUAGGCAGUACCUGAGAUGAUAGUAUAACACUACCCUGUUCCCCACAUUUUUUGCUUUUCUUUAGGAAAUAAUUAAGUCCUUAUCAUAGGCACUUUUAACCUGUUUAAGAUAAUGAAGCAAACAAAUGAAAAGUACUGAGAUGAGUUUAAGAAAGAAUAUGCUAAUUGAAAAAGAUACUGGGUGCGUACAUUUACCAUGGUUUAGUCUAAAUAUUAGACACACAGACACACAUACAGACACACACACACCCCUUUUGGAACUCUCCAAGACCAUCUCCGAAUCUAGGUAAAUAGUCUUAAAUUUUCGGGGGAGCUAGGUUUGGAAACAAAAAUGGUUUUUGGAGACAGGAAAAGAGACGGUCUGAAACUGGACUCACUUCAGUUUGGAAAAGAAUGGCGUAGGUGCCAAGACCAGACCCAGGAAGGGGUGAGCAUUUCAAGCCCAGUUAUGGUCUAAGUCUAAGGCAUGAAGAGAGGUAAAAGUCCAGGUGCUGGAAAAGCAAGCUGUGUGCUUAAAAGAAGAAUGCCUGUGUCAAAGUUGCAGUUAUAAAACCCUAGGACAAGGCAGGCAGGUGGUGUCUGCACCUACAUAACCGUCAGAGAGACAGGCAGAGGUCAAUCACCUGACUCUUCUCCUCCAGGUACUUUUAUGACCUUUGGGGGACCCACGGGAAAGGAAUGGGGUUACCGCUUCGCCAAGACCCUCCAGCAGGCUCCACAUGCCUGGUCCAGACAGGCAACUUAAAAAAAAAAAGGGAGGGCUGAGGAGUGGGUGAUAAAGGAGAUUGGAGGGGGAGCAGGAAAGACACGCAGUGGCACAUCUCCCUGAUGAUAACCAAUGCUUCAGGAUUGCCUAUCAGGGCACAUUAGAAGGCUUUUGAGAAUCCAAAACACUGAGUUUUGCUGCCUGACAUAUCAAUAUAGGUUUAGCCGAGAGCUCACAUCUUGCUUUUGAUUUUCAGGUAGAACAAAUGUUUACAUUAGUAUACAGCAUGUGCAAUGCAAGCGGGCAGCAUUGGUAUGAGAACCUUAACUGAAUGCAUUUCUUGGCUUUGGGAUCUUAUUUUUUAUUUUUUACUCUAUAAACUCAACUCUAUAAUAAGAGAAGAGAUUCAUUUGUAUUUUAAGUUCCCACAGACCAAACGACAAAAAUAGAAUCUACGUUUAGAGAUAGGACCUGCUACCAAUACCAAUAAGAUUUUAUUGGAAUAUGGAAUGUAAACAAAUGUUUCAAACAAACAAUCUAACCUUAUAAAAAUGUAUGGCAUUAUUAAAUAGUUAAUAAAGAAAUCCUAAAGGGUGAUGUGGUAAACACCUCUAGUUCUAGCCUAGGUGUGUGAAGUCCCCAGAGCUGUGGCAUGGCCCUGCAGCUGGGAUGAGGGGACUGCCUACAAACCAUGUUGCUGCUGAGUCCCCCAAAUGAAAUCAGCCCUAUUUUUGUUUAAUCAAACUCUAGCUUUCUCUGCUAACAUGAAGGUUUGCACAAUGGAUCCAACACUUGCUCCGGGAGCACCGUUUUCUUCCCCAAGCCCCUUGUAUAUUCCUCUCAGUUGCUUGAGUUUCAGAUGACCCUGCCCAGACAACUCUAGUACCUGCAUGCAAGACAGACUUAUCUUUGCCAUCACAUAAAUGAAUCACAUAUCAGAACUCACAAAUGCAUAUUACAGUGGGAAACUGUAUCUCAUGGGGAUAAAAGGAGGUGGGAGAGGGAUAUCUUUUUCGGUCUUUCCUGAAAAAAUUCUAAUGGGAUGUUUUCCUCCCUCGCCUUGCCUGAAGACUGACUUUCCAGCUUUAGUUAUGGUUGUGAACAAAAAGGUCUCUGUUUCAGAGAGGUGUAUUAAAAUAGGCGCACACAUAGGGAUGUGCUGGGAAACGGUGACGUUCUCUUACAAGGCUGCCAAAAAAAAAACAAAAAAAAAACAAAAAAAAAAAAACAAACAGAAAAAGCAAUAAAAAAAUAGCAACAAGAUUUUAUGGUAAGGCAAAUCAACAAAGGUUAUAGUGAGCUCCAAGUUAUGCACUUAGCAUGGAACUUCUGAUGAUACCCACGGACCAGUUCAUGGCAUUGUAAGGUUUCGUGAUCCCUCCUGACAUCAAAGAGGGCUCUUGUGAAAGUGACUGCAGUUUGCUCCCAAAUGAAUCCACUUGGAGGAAAACUGCAGGGAUGAGGUACAUUUCCUGGAGAGCU